rnacentral:rRNA from 1 species
UACGUAGGGUGCAAGCGUUAAUCGGAAUUACUGGGCGUAAAGCGUGCGCAGGCGGUGAUGUAAGACAGAUGUGAAAUCCCCGGGCUCAACCUGGGAACUGCAUUUGUGACUGCAUCGCUGGAGUGCGGCAGAGGGGGAUGGAAUUCCGCGUGUAGCAGUGAAAUGCGUAGAUAUGCGGAGGAACACCGAUGGCGAAGGCAAUCCC